rnacentral:rRNA from 1 species
UACGUAGGGACCAAGCGUUGUUCGGAUUUACUGGGCGUAAAGGGCGCGUAGGCGGCGCGGUAAGUCACUUGUGAAAUCUCUGAGCUUAACUCAGAAAGGCCAAGUGAUACUGCAGUGCUAGAGUGUGGAAGGGGCAAUCGGAAUUCUUGGUGUAGCGGUGAAAUGCGUAGAUAUCAAGAGGAACACCUGAGGUGAAGACGGGUUGCUGGGCCAACACUGACGCUGAUGCGCGAAAGCCAGGGGAGCAAACGGG